CUUCUUUCUGAUCACAUCUGUCCCGCUGCUCACAGUCUGCUGCUGCUCACAUUCUUCACAUUUAUAGUCCACUUUUAAAAGUUCAGCAGACAGGUGCUCUGCUUUCGAGUGUGACGAUGUUGUCGGUGAUGUGGAGAGUGAAGUUUCCGUUUCACCCACAGCGUGCUUUAGGACAGCCAGAGUGAAAGUAGCAGUUCCUCCUUAAGGUCAGAGAUUGCAGCAUCUGAGGGCCUCUUCAAAAGAAGAUGUAGUUGAUGAAGACGUUCUGGAGCAGGGCCAGAAAGACCACGACCAAGCAGCCUUGAGAUCUUAGGCAGCGUCUCCUUCAGGUCCCUCUCUAUCUCCCCACACAUCCACCAACCACUGGAACACAUCUCCAAAGUUCUGCCGGACCAGCUCAGCUUCCCCUCAGAAGAAGUGCUGCCACCUGCCAGAUGAAGGAGCCUUUUGAGAGGCAGCUGGCAUCGUGAUUGGACUGUACUUUGGUCUGUUCCAAUCCAGCUUCAGCUCCAGAGACGGCAGGCGGGACGAGUCAACGGAGGCUGGGUGGACGAAGACAUGCAGCUGAGUACAAUCCAGAAAACAACAGAGGAGGAGUGCAGCGGCCCAUUAUAGCCUUUGACCAAAGAACUACAGACUCUUCACAACCUGCUCAAACUCUUGGUACAGGACCUCACCACACGGAUCAAGAAGGUUUCCUUCUCCUCAUUUCUACUCUGAAGCUCACCUUCUCCUGCUCAAACUGCUGACAAAUGUUUCUACUGCUCUAAAGUC
ensembl:lncRNA